rnacentral:rRNA from 1 species
GACGAACGCUGGCGGCGUGCUUAACACAUGCAAGUCGAACGGGAAGGCCCUGCUUUUGUGGGGUGCUCGAGUGGCGAACGGGUGAGUAACACGUGAGUAACCUGCCCUUGACUUUGGGAUAACUUCAGGAAACUGGGGCUAAUACCGGAUAGGAGCUCCUGCUGCAUGGUGGGGGUUGGAAAGUUUCGGCGGUUGGGGAUAGACUCGCGGCUUAUCAGCUUGUUGGUGGGGUAGUGGCUUACCAAGGCUUUGACGGGUAGCCGGCCUGAGAGGGUGACCGGCCACAUUGGGACUGAGAUACGGCCCAGACUCCUACGGGAGGCAGCAGUGGGGAAUAUUGCACAAUGGGCGGAAGCCUGAUGCAGCAACGCCGCGUGCGGGAUGACGGCCUUCGGGUUGUAAACCGCUUUCGCCUGUGACGAAGCGUGAGUGACGGUAAUGGGUAAAGAAGCACCGGCUAACUACGUG